rnacentral:sRNA from 1 species
GCUGGGUGUGGUGCUGCAUGUCUGUAAUCCCAUCCUCUCAGGAGGCUGAGGCAGGAGGAUCGUGUGUUCUAAGCCAGCCUCAGCAAAAGUGAGGUGCUACACAACUCAUUGAGUCCCUGUCUCUA